UGGAGUCACUGGGUCUAGGGGCCUAU
rnacentral:misc_RNA from 1 species